UGGUUGGACAGCCUACACUUAACCACAUUCUAGUGCCAAAGCAUCACCUCCCUCCCCUCUCCUAUAUAAACACACAAAACACAUAUACUCCACAUAUCCACCUGCUGCAGUUGCCUCUUCUACGCUACCAACAACAACAACGAUAAUAACAACAAGAGAGGAGGUGGGAGCUUUUGGCUCACCCCUCUUGCUCCCAUUCUUGCGCUAGCGUU
rnacentral:lncRNA from 1 species